UCAACUAAUUCAAAGCACAUACGAAACAUACCUCAAUGUUGGGAUGUUUCAAGCGUAUUAACUGAAAUUUUUACAGCAAGAUCAUUCAUUCCCAAAUCACGUACCUUCGGAAUUUAACCGGAUAUAGCUACUCGUUCAAAUGCCUUCGGGACAUAGCCCAGUUAUAGUAACUCGCACAAAUGCCUUCGGGACUUAACCCGGAUUUAGUAACUCGCACAAAUGCCUUCGGGACUUAACCCGGAUUUAGUAACUCGCACAAAUGCCUUCGGAUCUUAGUCCGGAUAUGGUCACUUAGCACAAAGCCUUCGGGACUUAGCCCGGACAUCAUUCAAAUAACCAUGCACAUUUAACAAUAAAUCAUGGCACAUUCGUAUUUCGUUUUCGUUAGCAAAACUCAAACACAAGA
rnacentral:lncRNA from 1 species